rnacentral:tRNA from 1 species
GGUUGUGACUCAGUGGUAGAACACUUGCCUUACAUGUAUGAGACACUGGGUUCGAUCCCUGGCACCA